UACAGAGGGUGCGAGCGUUGUCCGGAAUCACUGGGCGUAAAGGGCGCGUAGGCGGCGCGGUAAGCGUGCGGUGAAAGCCCGGGGCUCAACCCCGGGUCGGCCGUGCGGACUGCCGGGCUGGAGCACUGUAGAGGCAGGUGGAAUUCCGGGUGUAGCGGUGGAAUGCGUAGAGAUCCGGAAGAACACCGGUGGCGAAGGCGGCCUGCUGGGCAGUAGCUGACGCUGAAGCGCGACAGCGUGGGGAGCAACAGGAU
rnacentral:rRNA from 1 species